rnacentral:lncRNA from 1 species
AUGUGAGAUAUGUGAUCUGGUGUAUGUGUGAGUGCGGUGGCCUUUAUGGCUGUGGGGGCAGGUUGGGUGAUAGAUAUGCGGAGGGCCUUCAUUGAUCGAGAGUUGUGUGGGGGAAGACAUGUGGUACGGUACUUCGUGUGUAGGGGUGGCCUAUAUAGGCCGUUGGUUGUAGUUGAGAUAAAGGUGGACUAGGUGUGUGUGUGGCCUCUCUAGAUCGGGUAUAGCCGGU